rnacentral:sRNA from 1 species
AUGGAGCUCCGGGCGCUGCUCUGCUGGGCUUCGUUGGCUGCAGCUUUGGAAGAGACCCUGCUGAACACAAAAUUGGAAACUGCGGAUCUGAAGUGGGUGACGUUCCCUCAGGUGGACGGGCAGUGGGAGGAACUGAGCGGCCUGGAUGAGGAACAGCACAGCGUGCGCACCUACGAGGUGUGUGACGUGCAGCGCGCCCCGGGCCAGGCCCACUGGCUUCGCACGGGUUGGGUCCCGCGGCGGGGCGCCGUCCACGUGUACGCCACGCUGCGCUUCACCAUGCUCGAGUGCCUGUCCCUGCCUCGGGCUGGGCGCUCCUGCAAGGAGACCUUCACCGUCUUCUACUAUGAGAGCGAUGCGGACACGGCCACGGCCCUCACACCAGCUUGGAUGGAGAACCCCUACAUCAAGGUGGACACGGUGGCCGCAGAGCAUCUCACCCGGAAGCGCCCUGGGGCUGAGGCCACGGGGAAGGUGAAUGUCAAGACGCUGCGUCUGGGACCACUCAGCAAGGCCGGCUUCUACCUGGCCUUCCAGGACCAGGGCGCCUGCAUGGCCCUGCUGUCCCUGCACCUCUUCUACAAAAAGUGCGCCCAGCUGACUGUGAACCUGACCCGCUUCCCGGAGACCGUGCCUCGGGAGCUGGUCGUGCCCGUGGCCGGUAGCUGCGUGGUGGAUGCCAUCCCCGCCCCUGGCCCCAGCCCCAGCCUCUACUGCCGUGAGGAUGGCCAGUGGGCCGAACAGCCGGUCACAGGCUGCAGCUGUGCUCCGGGGUUCGAGGCAGCCGAGGGGAACACCAAGUGCCGAGCCUGUGCCCAGGGCACCUUCAAGCCCCUGUCAGGAGAAGGGUCCUGCCAGCCAUGCCCAGCCAAUAGCCAUUCUAACACCAUUGGAUCAGCCGUCUGCCAGUGCCGCAUCGGGUACUUCCGGGCACGCACAGACCCCCGGGGUGCACCCUGCACCACCCCUCCUUCAGCUCCGCGGAGCGUGGUUUCCCGCCUGAACGGCUCCUCCCUGCACCUGGAGUGGAGUGCCCCCCUGGAGUCCGGUGGCCGAGAGGACCUCACCUACGCCCUCCGCUGCCGGGAGUGCCGACCCGGAGGCUCCUGCGCGCCCUGUGGGGGAGACCUGACUUUUGACCCCGGCCCCCGGGACCUGGUGGAGCCCUGGGUGGUGGUUCGAGGGCUACGUCCUGACUUCACCUAUACCUUUGAGGUCACUGCAUUGAACGGGGUAUCCUCCUUAGCCACGGGGCCCGUCCCAUUUGAGCCUGUCAAUGUCACCACCGACCGAGAGGUACCUCCCGCAGUGUCUGACAUCCGGGUGACGCGGUCCUCACCCAGCAGCUUGAGCCUGGCCUGGGCUGUUCCCCGGGCACCCAGUGGGGCUGUGCUGGACUACGAGGUCAAAUACCAUGAGAAGGGCGCCGAGGGUCCCAGCAGCGUGCGGUUCCUGAAGACGUCAGAAAACCGGGCAGAGCUGCGGGGGCUGAAGCGAGGAGCCAGCUACCUGGUGCAGAGAGCGAGGGCUGGCGGGAGCAGCUGGCCCUGA